rnacentral:rRNA from 1 species
CAAUAGUGUAUAUUUAAGUUGCUGCAGUUAAAAAGCUCGUAGUUGGAUUUCGGGUGGGAGUGGCCGGUCCGCCGUUUCGGUGUGCACUUGCUACGCCCACCUUGCUGCCGGGGACGUGCUCUUGAGUUCACGCUCGGGACACGGAGUCGGCGAGGUUACUUUGAGUAAAUUAGAGUGUUCAAAGCAGGCCUACGCUCUGAAUACAUUAGCAUGGAAUAACACGAUAGGACUCUGGCCUAUCUUGUUGGUCUGUAGGACCGGAGUAAUGAUUAAGAGGGACAGUCGGGGGCAUUCGUAUUUCAUUGUCAGAGGUGAAAUUCUUGGAUUUAUGAAAGACGAACUACUGCGAAAGCAUUUGCCAAGGAUGUUUUCAUUAA